AAAGGGUCCUUCCCCUUCCCCAGCCACUCCCACCCAACCCACGCUGAAACAAAUCACGUGCAUGGGGGGCCUGGAGGAGCAGUCAUCGCCCACCCCACGUUGUACACUUGGCCGGGAGGGAAGAGACAGAGGGGACAGCUCUGACUUCUGAACUCCGCACAUUGUCCCAGGAACAACUUGGCAGUCCAGAACUUCAGCAGCACUCAGAGGACAACUUAACUUGUCAUCCCAGAUUCUGGCAUCUGUGGGUUAAGAACUUGUCACUCCAAGAGAACACACUGUGGAGUGGAAAAGAGAAGCAGACAAUUAACCAGCUGUCAUGGAGCAUGAUCAGUCCCAGAACGGAAGUGUAGCGUGAUAGCUCCGAGAGCAUGACAAGCUGAGAAAUCAAUCCUGAGCGUGGUGGGCAGCUUCAAAGAAGAACAGAUGUUUAAACUUGGCUUUGAAGGUGGAAUGGUCUUUCAGUAAACCCAGUAACGACUGUAGCAAGUACUGACAGACUUCUAAGCACCAGGCACAGAGUAAAGGUGCAUAGGGGAGAAGAAAAGCUCAAGUGUCAUCCAAAGUGUGACAAGGUGAAUGUGUCAGUGUGUGGCACAGUUGGGUUAAGAAGCAUUAGUGUUGGGAGUGACAAAAAAAAAAAAGUAGGUUGAGAAUAAAGUACAAAGUGCCCUGAAUGUCUUACUAAGGACUCCAUUCAAUAAAGAAGAGGUAAAGAAUAAGAAUGCAAACA